rnacentral:rRNA from 1 species
UACGUAGGGUGCGAGCGUUGUCCGGAAUUAUUGGGCGUAAAGAGCUCGUAGGCGGUUUGUUGCGUCUAUCGUGAAAACCUGCAGUUUAACUGUGGGCUUGCGGUCGAUACGGGCAUCACUGGAGUUCGGCAGGGGAGACUGGAAUUCCUGGUGUAGCGGUGAAAUGCGCAGAUAUCAGGAGGAACACCGGUGGCGAAGGCGGGUCUCUGGGCCGAUACUGACGCUGAGGAGCGAAAGCCAGGGGAGCAAACGGG